GCAGCAGCAAAAGUCCUCUAACCCCUGCCUAAGAUGCGAUAAGGAGAUCUGACAGAAGAAUGCUGGGUGGGGUCUACUUUCAGGACGGAAGACUGAGCAGCUGAAGGCUGCCCUGAAAGCACCAUGUGUGAACCUAAUGAAGACUCCAGCCUCAUAGCCCAUAUGCUGGGAGCUGCAUUGUUUCCUGCAACACUGUGGAGUCCCACUAUCAAUAUUUAAAGCAUGUCAGCUUGUCAUCUACAAAGGAGAUUCCCGACUACUUGUAUUAAGUCCUGCAUCUGUAGGAAGCCACAGUCGUGCUGCAGGGAAGUGCCUGAGAGAAGGGAGCUGGAGGGGCCAGUCGCUGUCAGAAAGGGAAGACCCAAAGAGAGCAUAUCAAAGAGAGCAAAGGUGAGCCUUCCGUCAGACUGAAGUGGUGUGCCAUGGGAGAAAGCACCCCUACUGAGCCUGGCAUAACAAGCUCUUGUCCAAGCGUCUCCUGCCAUCUCCUUAUAACAGAGAACAAGACUAAGGUGGGACGCCACGAAGACCCCAAAGGACACAUAAAUGUCCACUGUUCCAACAAUAGAUUGGUCUUAUGCAAACUCAGUACUCCGCUUGCAGCAAACUUCUUUCUAGACAAUGCAUGUCUAAUGAAAUAAGUUUGGAAGGACUGAAAGUUCCCACUAUAUCUCUCAGCUAAAAUUACAUACAGAUGCUGCUCAGUGCCUGUAUUAACUUGUAACUGUGAACAAAUUAUAAGGUUUUAAGAUCACAGAAAAGUUUUUGAAGUUGAAAAUAACCACCAUUACAGACAAAAUAACCUGUCACUUCUUUUAGAGUUCAGGGAAAUAAAAUGUUGGUAAGAAAAAUAAAACAUUCUGGCUCCGUGCCAGGACAUAACAUUACGCUCUCUAAUACACUUCUAAAGUGCUUAUCUUAAGUGUCAGCAAGUGGCUGUUUGUUUAAAUCUAUCUCCCUUAGAAAUUCUAUUUAAGAUCUUUUUGAUUGACAAAACAGAGUGUCUGUUAUAUAUAAGUUUAUAUGUUAACUUUGCUCUAAAGGAAUAGCAUCCAAAUCUUUAUUUCAUCUGAAUCAAACUUAUGUGCAUUGUGAAACUCGUCCACAAAUCAUGGAAAGAAAAAUAUUUCAUAUAUUUAAUGAAAGAAGUGAUAGCUAUGUGCAUUUUCAUUC